rnacentral:lncRNA from 1 species
CAAUUUUGGUUUAAGUUAAAAUAGUUUGGUUCAAGAAUAAUUAAAUAGUGAAAACCGGUUUAGAGCAUCUCCAAUGUACACUUUUAUAAUCUUUAUAUAUAAAAUACAGUUUGUUCUCUCCAGGAUGCGCCACCUAGGAUUCCACCUAGGAAAAUCGAGCUUUUUCGUGCUGCCACGUGUCUCCAUUAAUGAAACUCGGCGUUUCAACCGCACGUCGGGAUGGACUUUCUUCGUUCAUCACAUGUUGGGCUUCUAAAAACAAACGCUAGAAAAGUGAUUAGGUUGUUUAAUAGUUGGGCUUUCAUAAUUUCACAAACCUAAGCCCAUAAUAAUUUCUCACGUCCACCGACCCUCUUUCCAAACGGUUCUUUGGAAAGCGAAGACGCCGUUGUGAUGAACGAUGUGCUUCCCAGCGGCUCUGGAGAUCCGGCACCGUUACGUAAAACGCUUGCAUUCAAUCACCGCUAUCAAUGCUCCAUUAACCUCCUCAUAAACGCCACCGACCCACUACUACCACCACGUCUCAAUCAAUACACCACCUCCUUAUGAAUCUACUACUAUAAAUCUGGGAGUUCCUUUCCCUGAGAUUCAUCGAUUUCUCCUUCUCAAUCAUCGUUGUUGUUGGAUUUCUUCUAAUCAUCUGGUCGGAUUCAGUACUCUGGGUGUUCCCCCUACAAAGAGUCCGCUCUCCGUUGAUUAGAGUGUUAUCUGUUUUUUCAGAUUUGAGACGUCGGUGAUUCAUGUUAUACUUAUUGAAGAAAGAGAUUACAAAUUAGUGCUGCACAAAAAAAAACUCACUGAGAUGCUUAUUGGAUUAUGCUCUGAUUCUUUACCGGCGGAGAGAUUGUAUCACCAAGAAAAAAGGAGGUGAUUUGGGCAAAUAUCGGCAAUGACUAAGCUCUCAAAAUGAUUGCUGGUGAAGCUUACGGCUGAGCACGGUGCUCUCUGCAUCAGUGGGAAUUCAUCUAAUCAAAGGCCACUUG